AAAUUUAUGUUCAAGACGGUUCAAGCGUCUUGAUCAUUUAGAACCUAUACUUUGCUGCCGUCAUGUCAAACAUUUCCAUUGGAAGAACACUUGAGAGCUAUUGACUUUGACCCCCUGCGCUAUUAUUUGGACUUCAAUGACCUGGAACGUAGUUCUAGAUAAAGAAAAUCACUGGGAUGUAAUUCUAACCUAUAAAUUAGUUGCCACUACUUUGUUAUCCAAGUCAAAAAAUAUUUCCUUGGAAUAUUUGACGAUUUUUUUUGUACAGGAAGUGUUUUGUGUUACAAACAACCUUCCAGAGUUUAAAAGCAUCAAGCUUAUAGUCCGAACUCUCUUCGUAUUAGCAAAGUACCAACUGGCUGGGGUUAGAGGUCAUUAGGGGAUUUAUCUAGUAGUAGAUUGGAACGAGCACCCGUAGAAUAAAUAUCAUGUCUUUUUGGUUUGUCACCCAGCUAGGAUGGUUUGCUUGGAUUUGUCGUAGUUUAUGGUUGAAGAUGGUAUGAUGGUUCACAUGUGGAGGGUACAAAUUCUCUUUAUAUUCAGGCUUUCUUUAAAUUUUAUCAUAUGUCCAGAUGCUUUGUCAUCUUUCAUUGUUCGACAUGCAAUUCUAACUCUAUUGCUGUCACAGUUGGGGCUGCUGUAGCUGUUGUGGGACUGGCAGCUUACCGUGUUUAUGCUGCGCGGAAGAAUGCAUCGAGCUGAGAAUUGAGAUGGUGUGAUCAUAAUAUGCCAGUCAUGGUUUCAAAUAUCAAGUUUCUCUUGUCUGAUCUCUUGUGCCAUGGUUUGUUGCUUGGUUUUCUGGUAUUGUGCAUAUCUCCGAAUUCCAACAUGGAGAAAAAUGCAAAUAUUUUUGUGAUCGCUGCUUUAGAUCUGUUACAUAUUAGCGGCUUUUCUUUUGUAGCAUCUCAAUUAGAAAGUACUGGACGUGCCUUUUCUUUCGAAGUGGAGAAGCCCCAUUGCUGGCAGGGUUGAUUUGCUGCGAAAUAAAAUGUUUAAAAUAAACUUUGUUUAAGAAACUUGGAAGUAAACAUGAAGCGACCUUUUAGGUUAUAUCGUAUUUUAAGGAAAAUUUUAUUGAAUUGUUGUAGGAUUUUGUAUUUUUGAAAAGUUGUCUAGCAUUUCCCAUAAAGCUUGAAGAAGUAAUAUCAACCAAUUUCCUAAUUUGCAUUAUUCCUUGAUGGAACUUCAAUUAAACUGCGAUAUAAUUAGCCUUUACUAAUUUUAUUAUUUGAUUCUUCAACGUCUCUUGUGGAAGUUUUAGAUAAUCUUGCAUUGAUAAUACGGCCACCGGCCUGAGUCGUUGCGCGUUAUUAAAUUCCUAAAUUAAGCACUUUGUUUAAAAAGUACUCUACUAGUUUUUAUUCUUCCUAUACAAGUUACAACACAAAAAAUAGAAAAAGAAAAAAAAUACUUAAAAUAAGUCAUCUUCUCCAUUUUGGAUUAAAAUGUAUAAUGGCAAUACUUCUCCAUUUCUCAUCUUCAAAGAUUUCACUAAUAAAAAUUAUCAAUUAUAUAAUUCAAUUUAUAUACAUAAAUAACAUGAAAAAUAUAUAUUAUCCAAUAAUAAAUUAUAAAAGCAUUAAUUCAAUCCGCUAAUCACUGCCAAUUCACUAGUUCUCUCCCAUUGAAGUUUAAUACUAUAUAUAUUUUUUCUUCCCCUUGUAUGUUUUUUAUUAAGAUCUAUUAGGAACAUGUAUACCCGGUUUAAGAAUGAUCAUCGUUUCGGUGAAGAUUUGGCGAUGGAGAUACUACAAAGGUUACCUGUGAAACCAUUGUUGCGAUUCAAAUGCACGAGCAAGAAUUGGUACAGUCUUAUUAAUAGCCAUAUGUUUAUUGGUAAACAAUUGAAUUAUCAUGAAAGUAAGAAUGAACUGAAAAUGCUAAUUCGUAGCCAUGAUGCGAUUCCCGGAAUGGACAUAAUUUCGAAUUCGGAAGGAACCUCUGUAAUUGAAAAUGCUGAUCAUCUGUCGAGUUUUCUUGCUAAUACAUUUCAUAUGGUAGGCCAUGUGAAUGGCGUGUUUUUAUUUCAAAAAGACUAUGGUGGAUCUGAUCGUAGAAUGGGAUUCUGGAAUCCUGCAACAAGGGGGUUAACCACCCUCCCUUACGUCCAUUUCCUGUUACAACCAUUUUUCAAUGAAUCGGGUGGGUUUACCGGGUUUGAAUUAGACCCUUUUACAGGUAACUACAAGGUGAUUUGGGUUCGCCAGUUCUCUGAUGGUAACUGUGAUUCUUCGUUUCAUCGAGCAUAUGCAGCGGUUUAUUCCUCUUCUAAAGGCUCUUGGAGAUUUAUUAAACAUAAAGAUCACAGAAUUCUCACUACCUCUGGUUGUUACUCCUGUAGUUAUCCCAAUUCAACUGGUUACCUUAAUGGAGCUUAUUACUGGAUGAUCAGGUGGGAAGCUGACUGCGGCCUUCUUUCAUUUGAUUUUGACAAUGAGGUGUUCCGUGAGAUUUCAGGGCCAGAUGUUCCAUAUAGUAAUAAUCGUCACUACAACGUCAUAUUGAUUGAUGGCUCUAUUCACUUUUUGAUCAAAGAUGACAAGAGCAUAGACUUUGGUUUGUGGGUUAUGAUCCAACCUGGUAUUUGGAACAAACUUGUUACCUUUCAAUACUUUUUAACUAGUUGCCCUAUCUUACAGGGAUUCUGGGAUUCUAACACACCCAUUUUCGUAAGUAAACUUGAUGGGCUAACCUCCUAUGAUAUUAACACCCACGAGAUAACGCAUCUCAAACUUCGAUAUACGGAAUAUAUUUGUAGUUUUAGUAUUUUUAUUAUAAGGAGAGCUUAGUAACAAUUAAGUGAUCAAGGAGAUGUAUAUAUCAACCAUUGUCUUCUGAGAUGAUCUCUUAUGACUCAUGAGACAAGACAUCAGGGCGAUAUUUGUGGUUGUAUGUAUGGUUUAUUUUUAUAAGGAGAGCUUAGUAACAAUUAAGUGAGGGAGAUGUAUAUAUCAACCAUUGUCUUCUGAGAUGAUCUCUUAUGACUCAUGAGACAAGACAUCAGGGCGAUAUUUGUGGUUGUAUGUAUGGUUUAUUUUUAUAAGGAGAGCUUAGUAACAAUUACACAGACCAUUGUAGCUUACCUGACAUACUUGCCUCCUCCAUAAACAAUUGAAAUAUUGAUGCUUUACACAAUUGCUGCAUCUAUUGUUUGAGUGUUGACAACUUGGUUUAUCAAAACGGUCUUUUAUGAGUUUGAUUUAUUCAUGGCUUCAAGUUUUUUUGUUCCAAAUGGGAUUGCGUACGUUAAUAUACCAAUACAAGACACUAUUGAAUUGACAAUUAACAUCGAGAAGAGUAUAUAUAGUUUAGUCUUGCUAGGUCUCUUAAGGCUGUGCAUUGAAUUCUUAAACCUAGAAUUUGAUGUCUUUAUUUAACAAACCUUCUCCCCAUGAGAAAAUUUGAAUAUCUGUAAUUUCACAUUGGCUUCUGGGAUUCUAGCACUCAUUUUCUUUACUAGAAAUUCUCGGGUGGUCUCCUCUGAUGCUCAGGUUGGGGAGAUGAGGCAUUUUAGAUUUCGAUAUCAGAGCCAGAGAAGUAGGUGUAGAAUUUAUUAUUGCAAGGAGAGCUUUAGUAACAAUUGGACGAGUAAAUGAGGAUCUGGACCAACAUAUUUGACUCCUCUGUGAGCAUCUGAUAUAAUUUAAUGAGUUAAAAUCUAGUAAAAUUCAUAAUAUUGCAACUUGCAAGUAAGUAACUAUACUAUUUUUGUAAGUUACUAAUUUAAUUUCAAGUGCGUUGGGCUUAACCAUUUAAUUGCGGUACAUUUAGCCAUGGCUCAAAUAGCUAUUGUAGAGUCGUAUUGUUUUCUAGUUUCUCUUAGUUACUUGGUAUCUGUUAAGUAUAGGAAUUAUAGGGUGCCUCCAACUUUAUAAACUAGUGUAAUUUAUAUGGCCACCAGCAUUAUGCAGACUCGUUGAAGAUUUAGAAAGGGAAAUGUUGCCUGUUGCGAUUCAAGUGCUUCUGCAAUAGGUGGUUCACCCCUCUCUUUAUAAGAUAAUACGGCCACCGGCCUCAAGGAAAUUAAAGGGAGGUUGUCUAUGUUGCAAUUCAAGUGCAUGCAUUUGACAUAAUAUCAAAUUCCUAAAGCACUUUGUUUUGCAUCUGUUGUUUAAAAAUACUCUACCACAAAAAAUAGAAAAAGAAACUAAUGCUAAAAAACUACUACGGAGUAUAAAAUAAGUCAUCUUCUCCAUUUUGGAUUAAAAUGUACUAUAAUGCAAUACUUCUCAUCUUCAAAGAUUUCACUAAUAAAAAUAUAUUUAUUUGUGAUUUAAGUAUUUAAUUCAAUUUAUAUACAUAACAUGAAAAUAUAUAUUAUCCAAUAAUAAAUUAUAAAAGCAUUAAUUCAAUCCGCUAAUCACUGCCAAUUCACUAGUUCUCUCCCAUUAAAAUUUAAUACUAUAUAUAUUUUUUUCUUCCCCUCCUGUAUGUUUUUUAUUAAGAUCUAUUAGGAACAUGUAUACCGGGUUUAAGAAUGAUCGUCGUUUCGGUGAAGAUUUGGCGAUGGAGAUACUACAAAGGUUACCUGUGAAACCGUUGUUGCGAUUCAAAUGCACGAGCAAGAAUUGGUACAGUCUUAUUAAUAGCCAUAUGUUGAUUGGUAAACAGUUGAAUUAUCAUGAAAGUAAGAAUAAACUGAAAAUGUUAAUUCAUAGCCAUGAUGACAUUCCCAGAGUCGACAUAAUUUCGAAUUCGGAAGGAACCCCUGUAAUUGAAAAUGCUGAUCAUCUGUCGAGUUUUCUUGCUAAUACAUAUCUUAUGGGAGGCCAUGUGAAUGGCGUGUUUUUAUUUAAAAAAGCAUGUGGUGGAUCUGAUCGUAGAAUGGGAAUGUGGAAUCCUGCAACAAGGGGGGUAACCACCCUCCCUGACGCCCAUUUCCUGUUACAACCAUUUUUCUGGGAAUCGGGUGGGUUUACCGGGUUUGAAUUAGACCCUUUUACAGGUUACUACAAGGUGAUUUGGGUUCGCGAGUUCUAUGAUGAUAUCUUUGAAACUUCGUUUCAUCGAGCAUAUGCAGCGGUUUAUUCCUCUUCUAAAGGCUCUUGGAGAUUUAUUAAACAUAAAGAUCACAGAAUUCUCACUACCUCUGGUUAUUACUCCUGUACUUAUCCCGAUUCAACUGGUUACCUUAAUGGAGCUUAUUACUGGAUGAUCACGUGGAUAGAUGACUGCGGCCUUCUUUCAUUUGAUUUUGACAAUGAGGUGUUCCGUGAGAUUUCAGGGCCAGAUGUUCCAUAUAGUGAUCGUCGUCAAUACAACGUCAUAUUGAUUGAUGGCUCUAUUCACUUUUUGAUCAAAGAUGACAUGAGCAUAGACUUUGGUUUGUGGUUUAUGAUCCAACCUGGUGUUUGGAACAAACUUGUUACCUUUCAAUACUUUUUAACUAGUUGGCCUAACUUACAGGGAUUCUGGGAUUCUAACACACCCAUUUUCGUAAGUGAACUUGAUGGGCUAACCUCCUAUGAUAUUAACACCCACGAGAUAACGCAUCUCAAACUUCGAUAUAAGGAAUAUAUUUGUAGUUUUAGUAUUUUUUCUUAUAAGGAGAGCUUAGUAACAAUUAAGUGAGGGAGAUGUAUAUAUCAACCACUGUCUUCUGAGAUGAUCUCUUAUGACUCAUGAGACAANNNNNNNNNNNNNNNNNNNNNNNNNNNNNNNNNNNNNNNNNNNNNNNNNNNNNNNNNNNNNNNNNNNNNNNNNNNNNNNNNNNNNNNNNNNNNNNNNNNNUAAAUGCAACCACUCUAUGCACAGCACAUGUUGUAUUUUACUCAACUGCUGAACUACUUCUACCUUAGAAAGGAAAUAGAGAUGAAGAGAGGGAGGAGCAUACCAUUAUAAUUCCACCACAUAUUCUAUUCUUUCUUUUUUUUUCCUUUUCACAGUUGUUCCUUGCAUUUUCGAAGUAGCUCAUCUUAAUACCUUUUAUGUCCAGUUCUCAUGAAGCUUCUUGGAAGAGAGCAGCAGAUUUACUGGUGGAUGUUGCCAGCCACGGAGAAGCCACUGGGUAUGAGAUGCCUUGUCUCAUUGUAGCAGCUAAAGAUGAUCUGGAGCCUUAUUUGACCGAAAUUCAAGAUUCUACCAGGGUAUCUAUCCUUAUCCUACAUACCAUCAAGAAUUGAAUAUAUUUUUUGUCAAGUAGUAAUUUUAUAUUCAGGUUCAAUGUAUUUAUCUCCUGACAUUUUUAGUGAAAUGCCUUUUACCUGCGUGACGUUUACUUUUGUGAUUGCUGCACCAUAUCAAAACAAUUUUCUUGAAGGGUGAAGCUCAGCUAGUACUGCUGCAUGUGAUUGAGUAUAUCCAUGUUCCUGGUGUAAUUUAUCUUCUGUAGAGGCUAAACCUACAUGAUGUAUUAUCUUAAGUUGUUAGGCAGUGCACAUUUUUAGUAUAAUUUGAUAUUUGCUAAUAUAUUAUGAAUUUGUUUAAUAGGUUAGCCAGGAUUUAGGGAUAGAAGCUCCUAUACCCAUCAGCACGAAGCUUGGGGAUUUCAGUAAUUUGUUCCGAAGGAUAGUUAAUGCAGCGGAACAUCCACAUUUGAGCAUCCCUGAAACUGAAGCGGGAAGAAGCCGUAAGCAAUAUCAUCGGCUCGUCAAUCGAUCUCUUAUGUUUGUAUCAGGUAACAAUUUGAUUUGAUUUCUUUUUGGACCUUUAAGAACUUUUUACGGCUACCAAGUUACAGAAAACAAAUAAUUAGAACUAACGUUAUUAUGGGUUUCACCAUGUAUAUUUCCUUGUUCUUGUGAAAAAAAAGAUGUCCUUAUCUUUGGAAGUUAACAGUUGAUGAUACAGCAGUUUCUUUUGGUUUUAGUAGGGCUGAAAUUUAUGUUCAAGACGGUUCAAGCGUCUUGAUCAUUUAGAACCUAUACUUUGCUGCCGUCAUGUCAAACAUUUCCAUUGGAAGAACACUUGAGAGCUAUUGACUUUGACCCCCUGCGCUAUUAUUUGAACUUCAAUGACCUAGAACGUAGUUCUAGAUAAAGAAAAUCACUGGGAUGUAAUUCUAACCUAUAAAUUAGUUGCCACUACUUUGUUAUCCAAGUCAAAAAAUAUUUCCUUGGAAUAUUUGACGAUUUUUUUUGUACAGGAAGUGUUUUGUGUUACAAACAACCUUCCAGAGUUUAAAAGCAUCAAGCUUAUAGUCCGAACUCUCUUCGUAUUAGCAAAGUACCAACUGGCUGGGGUUAGAGGUCAUUAGGGGAUUUAUCUAGUAGUAGAUUGGAACGAGCACCCGUAGAAUAAAUAUCAUGUCUUUUUGGUUUGUCACCCAGCUAGGAUGGUUUGCUUGGAUUUGUCGUAGUUUAUGGUUGAAGAUGGUAUGAUGGUUCACAUGUGGAGGGUACAAAUUCUCUUUAUAUUCAG
rnacentral:lncRNA from 1 species